rnacentral:rRNA from 1 species
UACGAAGGGGGCUAGCGUUGUUCGGAUUUAUUGGGCUUAAAGAGCUCGUAGACGGUUUCCUAAGUAAGAUGUGAAAGCCUUGGGCUUAACCCAAGAAGUGCAUUUUAUACUGGGAGACUAGAGUUUGAUAGAGGAAAAUAGAACUUCUAGUGGAGAGGUAAAAUUCGUAGAUAUUAGAAGGAAUACCAGAGGCGAAGGCGAUUUUCUGGAUCAAAACUGACGUUGUUGAGCGAAAGCGUGGGGAGCAAACAGG